GCCUUCAACAUUAUUGCAAAUUGGAAUGUCACUGUCGUAAAGCCGGUCCUUGUCUGAACUCUCAUCACGCCAUUCAUCAAGCCCAUCAUCCAAAUUGUCAUCAAAUCUAUCUUCACCGAUAGGGAACAAAUCCUCAUUUCCUCAUCAGAUGCAGUAUUAUCCUCGAGUGUCGCAUUGUCACCCUCCAAUGUCGCAGUGCUGUCCUCAAGUGUCACAUUCUCAUUUGAAAAUGCCAUUACACCUUGUACAGUUUCAC
rnacentral:lncRNA from 1 species